ACGAACGCUGGCGGCAUGCCUAACACAUGCAAGUCGAACGAGACCUUCGGGUCUAGUGACGCACGGGUGCGUAACGCGUGGGAACCUGCCCUUAGGUUCGGAAUAACUCCCCGAAAGGGGUGCUAAUACCGGAUAAUGUCUUCGGACCAAAGAUUUAUCGCCUUUGGAUGGGCCCGCGUUGGAUUAGCUAGUUGGUAGGGUAAAAGCCUACCAAGGCGACGAUCCAUAGCUGGUCUGAGAGGAUGAUCAGCCACACUGGGACUGAGACACGGCCCAGACUCCUACGGGAGGCAGCAGUGGGGAAUAUUGGACAAUGGGCGAAAGCCUGAUCCAGCAAUGCCGCGUGAGUGAUGAAGGCCGUAGGGUUGUAAAGCUCUUUUACCCGGGAUGAUAAUGACAGUACCGGGAGAAUAAGCUCCGGCUAACUCCGUG
rnacentral:rRNA from 1 species